CACAUCCAAGGAAGGCAGCAGGCGCGCAAAUUACCCAAUCCCGACACGUGGAGGUAGUGACAAUAAAUAACGAUGCAGGGCCCUUUCGGGUCUUGUAAUUGGAAUGAGUACAAUGUAAAUACCUUAACGAGGAACAAUUGGAGGGCAAGUCUGGUGCCAGCAGCCGCGGUAAUUCCAGCUCCAAGAGCGUAUAUUAAAGUUGUUGCAGUUAAAAAGCUCGUAGUUGAACCUUGGGAAGGCCGCGCCGGUCCGCCUUUUGGCGAGCACUGGAGGCAGCCUUCCUUUCCUCUGCCAUCCCUUCGGGGCGGGCAGACUAUUACUUUGAGUAAAUGAGAGUGUUCAAAGCAGGCGUACGCUUGAAUCUGUUAGCAUGGAAUAAUAGAAUAGGACGCAUGGUUCUAUUUUGUUGGUUUCUAGGAC
rnacentral:rRNA from 1 species